CAAAGGACAUCUGGCCAACUUGACACAACUGUGGGAAGCAUUGGAGGUGUUCCUAAUGUUUGGUAUGCACAGUGUACUCUAUACAUGGUCUCCUGAGUUGAAGUUUUUUGAGUAGCAGGGUCUAGGUUUGACUACCGCCUAUCUUACAAUAACAUUGUGAAGUAACUUAUCCCAUCUUUUUGCUUUUUUGUUGUUGUUAUUGAAUUUCUCACUCCACUCCGUAACUAAAUUUAGUGGACAGUUUCUAUAACUGCACAACAGAUUUCUGCAUAUUUUAAAAAUAAAAUUAAAAACAUUAUCUAUCGUCUCAUCAGCUGCUGACGACAAUCUGCAAUGGAACGUUGAACUCAGCCAUUUUACUCUCCUGUGUUUUUGUACCUGCAGGACAAGCUAAAGCCGAGCCCCCACAGUCCCAGGUCUUCUCCUGCUCACAGUGUCAAUUCUCUGACAGGCAAUGGACUACCCUCCAAGAGCAUGUCAGGAAGAACCAUCUGAAUGAGGACAGCAGGAUCCUGUGCUCUGGAGAAGCUGGAGCUGAGAACAACUCUGCCUGUCAGUGAGAAAGAGAACUCCUCAGCCAAGAAGACCAUAGUGAACAGAUUAUUGGUGAGCAAGGGGAGCUGAUAGGGGUUCGUUGCUGUUGGACUCAUCUGACAUGCCAUCGUCCUCAACUGAGGAGAGGUCAGGUUCCGAGGCCAAGUCUGAGAAGGUGAAGUCUGGUACCUGCCAAUGGAAAAUGCAACUAAGUCCAACAAAUGAAACAGCCUAAUGGUAUGUUCUUAAGACUACAAAUAAAUACAGGGAGGGUUGCAUCAUUCUUGCAAAACCUAGUCCUGGAAAAACA